GGGCGGACUUGGCCAUGUGACCCGAGUCCGUGACGUCAUCGCGGGCUCCAGCCAGCUGCUGGAGCUCCAAGCACCCGCUGCACACUCUUCCACCUGGAGCUGAGCUUUCGCUCACCGUCCACCACUGCUGUUCGCCGCUGUUGCAGACCCGCCGUUGACUUCCACCCCUCUGGAUCCGGCAGGGUGUCCCCUGCGUUUCUGAUCCAGCGAGGUGCCCAUUGCCGCUCCUGUUUGGGCUAGAGGCUCGCCAUUGUUCCUGUGCGGCUAAGUGCCCGGGUUGGUCCUAAUCAAGCUGAACACUAGUCGCUGGGUUCCACGGUUCUCUUCCGUGACCCACGACUUCUAAAAGAGCUAUAACACUCACUGCAUGGCCCAAGGUCCCAUUCCUUGAAAUCCGUGAGGCCAAGAACCCCAGGUCAGAGAACGAAAGGCUUGCUGCCAUCCUGGGAGCAGCCGCCACCAUCUUGGGAGUGGCCCACCACCAUCUUGGGAGCUCUAAGAACAAAGACCCACCAGUAACACCAGCACUUUGGGAGGCCAAGGCGGGGGGAUCACCUGAGGUCAGGAGUUUGAGACCAGCCUGACCAACAUGGAGAAACCCCAUCUCUACUAAAAAUACAAAUAAAAUUAACUGGGC